ACUGUCCUUAUCUUGGGGUUGCGAGCUUGCCCAAGGAACGUUAAGUGAGGGUAAGACUGCUAACAACAAGAAACACAAUUUACCAGCACACAGAUCUGAUAGGAUUUGAUGUGCAAUUUUUGGAGCU